UACAAAAGGGAGGAUGCAGGCCUUAGAGGGGCAUAGCCCAGGACUCCAGCACAGGGCGAGCCAGGGAGGGGGACGCUCCUCAGCCUAGUGUCGUAGACAGCAAGAGUGGGAACAAUUCUACUCUCUUUUUUUUUGCUGUUUUUGAGAAUUUUUUUAUUUAUUUUUAAUUGUUUUUAGACAGCAGCUAGGUAAGAAAAUAUGACAGGGGCUCAUGCUAGAGAAUAUACGCACGGCGCGCUGCCACCCUACAGGCGUCAGUCUGUCGAAACUGGGUGAGAGGAGGACGCAGACACCGGGUGCUGAAGGUUGCUCGUCUGAGUGGAGGAAUCUGUGGAGCUCUCCAGGGGUGGCCUACAGGCUGCUAUGGCUGGUCAAACGGAACCAAGUCCGAAUUCCCUGGAGGUUUGGUCCCCUUCAACCAGCUAUGGCAGUGCUGAACUCUCCAGCCUCUGACCAAGGCGCUGCCACCGAUGGAAUAACAUUAUCAUUGAUUAUUAUUUAGUUGUUUUAAUUUUCACUUCUUUAAUGUUUUCAAUUUCUAUUUGAUCUUUCGUUUAAUCCAGUGCUAUAUGUUAAUGUAUAUGACCGUUGUAGAAAUUUGUUAGAAUUGCAGAAUUUUAUUUCUAUAAUUUUUUUUAAUGGCUAUUUCUAUCAUGUGUAAUAAAUGCAUUCAGAGGACUUGCCGUGAAGAUUUUGGUUCUUACACAUAGACGAUGUGGGGGCAGAUAUACUAAGCCUAAGCCUGGCAUUACAUACACCAGCCUAAAGUCCAUAGCCCAAUGCGCCAAAUUUAUUACACAUCUUCCUGCAGUUUGUGCGCCAGAAUUUGACAUCUAUCUGAGCCGUAAUUUACUCCAGUUUUUGGCAUAAAAUAUAGAAAAUCCACCAGGCCGAGGAAGACGUUUGAAAAGCACAAAAAGUUUCAAAUUAUAAACUUUUUUAUGACACAAAAGUGGGUCUUGCCUAGUUGCCAAAAAGUCCCAAAUUUGCAGGGACUGUUACAGGAAUUUUGGGCUAUCCUGGGUUGAAAAUCUGUGGUGCCUAUGUAAGCCCCACCCAUAAUUGGGCAGUCCUGGGUUGGUUCCGGUGCAUUCCCAGGGGCGGGGCUUACAUGCCUCAAAUAUAACAAAUACAAUGCCGAUAAGUAUGGUCUUGCAUAGUAGCCAACUGUCCUAAAUUUGCAGGGAUUGUUACUGAAUUUCAGAGUCAGUCCUGGCAAAUUCAGGCAGUCUCUGGGUGAACAUGGGUGGGGCUAACUUUAACCCCACCCACACAUGGGUGUUUCCAGGCAUUCCCAGGGGUGGAGAUUGGGAUGCCCCAUUUAUUUCAAUCGAAACGCGCGUCGGGGUGUGCGGUCUUCCUGUGGACUUGUUACCUUUUUUCCCGCUUAUUGGAUGUAUUUUAUUGCGGUUUGAGCCUCCUGAACAAACGUUUACCAUAUUUCUUUGCCAAUUUUAUGUGGCUUGCACAUGCACUUUACCAUCUGAUUGAAUAGAUAUAUAUCUAAUUAAAGACUCCCACCUGAGAGUUGCCAUUGUUUUUCUGCUUAUCCCGCAGUUUGCACAGGCACUUUAUACUUGGUGACAUUAUCUGCACUCUCAUGGAUUGUGGACAUCUAUUUAUAUAUAUCUUAUAUAGCAGUUUUUUCGUUUACAGGCUCUUGUGUUUAGGUCACUUGCUUCAUUAUACUCUUGUACUCUGCAAAAUUCUCCCAGGACUGUACCGCACUGUUUGCAUUUGUCUGUCGGCUCCUUUGUAUGUUUUAAUUAUGCAUUCAAUAAAAUAAUAUUUUUAUAGCUUA